CGCUUGAAUUUGAUUCGGUGAACCGUGUAAACCUGAAACACUAAUUGCCGUAAGCUAUUUGCAUUGUUUCCAUAGCUUUGUUAGCGGCAAAGCGACAGGUGUUUUGUCAAAGUAAUGGAACUGUGUGUGUUGGGCUACCUUAGUUAUUACCUAGAAAUAACGUAAAGUUAAACUAACUUUUUACUGAAGAUAUUAACCUGAAGACCCGAGGCUGUCGUCACCGCCUCGCACAGGACUAAGGAGAGGUAUAUAGUGUUUAAAAUGUAUUAAACAAGGACAAGAUGCUCUGCCUGGACCAUUGGAAGAUUUGACACCUCCCGCCAUUCUUGGUCCAGUUUCCAAUCGUCCCAUUGUUCACGCUGCCUACAUCUCUUUGGGGGUAACCUGCCGACAAACAAUGCCAAAUGACUUGACAUAGUGUUUUAUACAUCUAUACCUCCCUGCCUGUUGGGACUGUACCUGCAUUGGCAAAGAGGAAGAGAGUCUACAGCAUCUCCCCAAGGAUACGCAUCCAGAGGGCAGGAAACAUCAAUCGGCCACCUUACAUGCUGGAUCUUUGUUGAUAUGACAAGGAAUUCCCCUGGAAGCCCAUUAUGAGACAGGAAUGAUUUCAUCACCAAAAUGUGGCUAAUUUAUGAAUGUCUUGUGAUGUUAAAUAUGAUGGCAUUCUAGUAGAUAAUGUAUUUUUAAUAAUGCAAAUAUUUUAAUUAGCCCAACCCCCUCUCCAUGCAUGUAAUCUCAAGUGAAUAGUGUUUUGUGUUGUUGUUAGCUUAGGUCUCUAUUCACACACCACCUUCUGCUAUUCAUCCAAAACAAAUAAAAUCAGAUCAUUUCAGGUUUUAAAA